rnacentral:rRNA from 1 species
UACGGAGGGUGCAAGCGUUGUUCGGAUUUAUUGGGCGUAAAGCGCGUGUAGGCGGUUUUUUAAGUCUGAUGUGAAAGCCCUGGGCUCAACCCAGGAAGUGCAUUGGAUACUGGAAGACUUGAAUACGGGAGAGGGUAGUGGAAUUCCUAGUGUAGGAGUGAAAUCCGUAGAUAUUAGGAGGAACACCGGUGGCGAAGGCGGCUACCUGGACCGAUAUUGACGCUGAGACGCGAAAGCGUGGGGAGCAAACAGG